rnacentral:lncRNA from 1 species
GGUUGGUUUGAUAAUGUUUUUAGUAUGCUGUACACAACAAGGUUUGAAAACCUUUAACAUCUACUGUGAUAUUAAGACAAAUUAUAUGUGAAUGAAUAUAUACAAAAUUGAGUAAGGCUUUCUUUUAAAAGGAGAGGCAAGUUCAAUUACUGAGAAAUCUCAGAUAUAAUGAGGGGUAGGAUAUAAAAUCUGAGCAUUAAUGUAAGUAUUGAAAUUUAUUGAACACUUAUAAACCUCAUUGUGUUAACUGAUGUAAAGACACAUAACUGUUAUUUUCAAUGAUCUCCAAAUAUGGAUAAGGAGGCUUAGUGCUUCAAUUUUUAAUUCACCUCAAACUAUUCAGUGAAUUCUUGUACUCUGUAAGAAAAUAUAAUGCUUAAGGUAAAAAACAGACUCAUGAAGUUGGUGAGACAACAUGAUUGACUGCAAUUAAGUGAAAGGGAAUAGACAAGGAAAACAGAAAUCAAAGUCAAGGCCUAACCAAGAUGAAGAGUCUAAUAGGAGACUGCCAACACAUUUAGCUGGCAGAAGCAAAAGAAAGCUCCACAGCUGACACAACAGCAACAAGGGAAGUGAUAAGACAGUGGAAAAUUAUCUCCAAUGUGUUGAAGAUAUGAAAGACCAAAUAAGAAUUCUGUAUUCAGCAGAAAUAUCUUUGCAGGGCUGGGGUUAUAACUCAUGAGAGUGAGGCCCUGGGUGUAAUCCCCAGUAUGGGUAAAGCUUUUUUUUUUUUUGGCAGAAUUAGGUGAAAAUAGAGAUAUUUUCAGAAAACAAAUCAUGAGGAUGGGAAAGGCAGCGGAGCACAACAGACACUAGUAUGGCAAUAUGUAAAUCAAUGGAUGUGUAACUGAUGUGAUUCUGCAAUCUGUGUAUGGGGUGAAGGUGGGAGUUCAUAACCCACUUGAAUCAAAG